GAUGAACGCUAGCGGCAGGCCUAAUACAUGCAGGUCGAACGGUCCGCUUCGGCGGAUAGUGGCGCACGGGUGCGUAACACGUAUGCAACCUACCUUACAUUGGGGGAUAGCCUUUCGAAAGGGAGAUUAAUACCGCAUAAGACAGUAGCUGGGCAUCCAGUAGCUGUUAAAGAUUUAUCGAUGUAAGCUGGGCAUGCGUCCAAUUAGUUAGUUGGUGAGGUAACGGCUCACCAAGACGAUGAUUGGUAGGGGAACUGAGAGGUCAAUCCCCCACACCGGCACUGAGAUACGGGCCAGACUCCUACGGGAGGCAGCAGUAGGGAAUAUUGGGCAAUGGACGCAAGUCUGACCCAGCCAUGCCGCGUGCAGGAAGAAGGCGUUCUGCGUUGUAAACUGCUUUUAUAUAGGAAGAGACGAUCCUUGCGAGGGGCAUUGACGGUAUUAUAUGAAUAAGCACCGGCUAACUCCGUGCCAGCCGCCGCUGUAACAC
rnacentral:rRNA from 1 species